rnacentral:rRNA from 1 species
CCUACAGCUCAACAGUAGAACUGCCAUUGAUACUGAUAUACUUGAGUAUGGAUGAAGUGGGCGGAAUAUGUCAUGUAGCGGUGAAAUGCAUAGAUAUGACAUGGAACACCAAUUGCGAAGGCAGCUCACUAAACCAUUACUGACGCUCAUGGACGAAAGCGUGGGGAGCGAACAGGAUUAGAUACCCUGGUAGUCCACGCCGUAAACUAUGAUUACUAGAUGUUGGCGAUACAAUGUCAGCGUAUAAGAGAAAUCGAUAAGUGAUCCACCUGGGGAGUACGUUCGCAAGAAUGAAACUCAAAGGAAUUGACGGGGGCCCGCACAAGCGGAGGAGCAUGUGGUUUAAUUCGAUGAUACGCGAGGAACCUUACCAAGGCUUAAAUGUAAUAUGACCGGUUGAGAAAUCAACCUUUUUUCGAACAGAUUACAAGGUGCUGCAUGGUUGUCGUCAGCUCGUGCCGUGAGGUGUCGGGUUAAGUCCCAUAACGAGCGCAACCCCUA